rnacentral:snRNA from 1 species
AGAUGUGAGGGUGAUCUGGCUGCAACAUCUGUCACCCCAUUGAUUGCCAGGGUUGAUCUGGCUGAUCUGGCUGGAUAGGUGGGUGCCCCCUUCCUCCCUAACCACUCCAUGUGUGUCACUCCUGAAGUUGUGCACUAGGUCUAAGAGGACAGUCUUACAGUCUUCCCCGAACAGAGACAGACCAGUCUUUGGUGAAGAGUAUACGGAUAGCUGAGCUUCCCUGCUAGAACCUCCAAACAAGCUCUCAAGGUCCAUUUGUAGGAGAACGUAGGUUAGUCAAGCUUUCAAGACUCCAGACACAUCCAAAUGAGGUGAUGCAUGUGGCAGUCUGUCUUUCUUU